rnacentral:rRNA from 1 species
AUUGAACGCUGGCGGCAUGCCUUACACAUGCAAGUCGAACGGUAACGGGCCUUCGGGUGCCGACGAGUGGCGAACGGGUGAGUAAUGCAUCGGAACGUACCUUUCAGUGGGGGAUAACGUAGCGAAAGUUACGCUAAUACCGCAUAUUCUGUGAGCAGGAAAGCAGGGGAUCGCAAGACCUUGCGCUGAUUGAGCGGCCGAUGUCAGAUUAGCUAGUUGGUGAGGUGAAGGCUCACCAAGGCGACGAUCUGUAGCGGGUCCGAGAGGAUGAUCCGCCACACUGGAACUGAGACACGGUCCAGACUCCUACGGAGGCAGCAGUGGGAAUUUGGACAAUGGGGGCAACCCUGAUCCAGCCA